UAGAGUUUGAUCCUGGCUCAGGAUGAACGCUGGCGGCGUGCCUAACACAUGCAAGUCGAACGAAGCCUUCGGGCUGAGUGGCGGACGGGUGAGUAACGCGUGAGAAUCUACCUUAGAGAUGGGGACAACCGUUGGAAACGACGGCUAAUCCCCAAUAAGCCGAAAGGUGAAAGGGUUUCCGCUCGAAGAGGAGCUCGCGUCCGAUUAGUUAGUUGGUGGGGUAAGAGCCUACCAAGGCAGCGAUCGGUAGCUGGUCUGAGAGGAUGAGCAGCCACACUGGGACUGAGACACGGCCCAGACUCCUACGGGAGGCAGCAGUGGGGAAUUUUCCGCAAUGGGCGAAAACCUGACGGAGCAACGCCGCGUGUGGGAAGAAGGCUCUUGGGCUGUCAACCACUUUUCUCAGGGAAGAAGCUCUGACGGUACCUGAGGAAUCAGCCUCGGCUAACUCCGUGCCAGCAGCCGCGGUAAUACGGAGGAGGCAAGCGUUAUCCGGAAUUAUUGGGCGUAAAGCGUCCGCAGGGGGCACUUCAAGUCUGCUGUCAAAGGUCGGAGCUUAACUCCGGUUCGGCAGUGGAAACUGGAGCGCUAGAGGGCGACAGGGGUAGAGGGAAUUCCCAGUGUAGCGGUGAAAUGCGUAGAGAUUGGGAAGAACACCGAUGGCGAAAGCGCUCUACUGGGUCGCACCUGACCCUCAUGUACGAAAGCUAAGGUAGCGAAAGGGAUUAGAUACCCCUGUAGUCUUAGCCGUAAACGAUGAUACAGCUUGCCGGAUAGCUGGGG
rnacentral:rRNA from 1 species